rnacentral:rRNA from 1 species
GAUGAACGCUAGCGGCAGGCCUAACACAUGCAAGUCGAGGGGUAACAGGAGAGCUUGCUCUCGCUGACGACCGGCGCACGGGUGCGUAACGCGUAUACAAUUUACCUUAUACUGGAGGAUAGCCCGGAGAAAUCCGGAUUAAUACUCCAUAACAUUACAGAAUCGCAUGAUUCCAUAAUUAAAGUUUCGGCGGUAUAAGAUGAGUAUGCGUCCUAUUAGUUAGUUGGUAAGGUAACGGCUUACCAAGACAGCGAUAGGUAGGGGCCUGAGAGGGUUAUCCCCCACACUGGUACUUAGACACGGACCAGACUCCUACGGGAGGCAGCAGUGAGGAAUAUUGGACAAUGGAGGCAACUCUGAUCCAGCCAUGCCGCGUGAAGGAAGAAUGUCCUACGGAUUGUAAACUUCUUUUAUUUGGGAAGAAACUUCUCUACGUGUAGAGAACUGACGGUACCAAACGAAUAAGGACCGGCUAACUCCGUGCCAGCAGCCGCGGUUAAAGUCACA